UCGAGAACCGUGCCGCACAGCCUAUAAGUGCGUUAAGGCAACGCUUACACAAAAAACAAAAAAGUUAAGAUUUCAAGCGAUAAAUUUACCAUUAUAGGAUAAACUUUCACAUGAACAUGUAUUCAUUUAUGUGGAAGUCUUUCCUAUGAUGGUUAAUUUGGAGCUUGAAAUCUUACAUUUUUUGGUUUUAGUGUAAGCGGGCCCUUAAGCACUAUUUAUCUUUA